rnacentral:rRNA from 318 species
UUAAGUUAUUAAGGGCGCACGGUGGAUGCCUUGGCACUAGAAGCCGAUGAAGGACGUUACUAACGACGAUAUGCUUUGGGGAGCUGUAAGUAAGCUUUGAUCCAGAGAUUUCCGAAUGGGGAAACCCAGCAUGAGUUAUGUCAUGUUAUCGAUAUGUGAAUACAUAGCAUAUCAGAAGGCACACCCGGAGAACUGAAACAUCUUAGUACCCGGAGGAAGAAAAAGAAAAUUCGAUUCCCUUAGUAGCGGCGAGCGAAACGGGAAGAGCCCAAACCAACAAGCUUGCUUGUUGGGGUUGUAGGACACUCUAUACGGAGUUACAAAGGACGACAUUAGACGAAUCAUCUGGAAAGAUGAAUCAAAGAAGGUAAUAAUCCUGUAGUCGAAAAUGUUGUCUCUCUUGAGUGGAUCCUGAGUACGACGGAACACGUGAAAUUCCGUCGGAAUCUGGGAGGACCAUCUCCUAAGGCUAAAUACUCUCUAGUGACCGAUAGUGAACCAGUACCGUGAGGGAAAGGUGAAAAGCACCCCGGAAGGGGAGUGAAAUAGAACCUGAAACCGUGUGCUUACAAGUAGUCAGAGCCCGUUAAUGGGUGAUGGCGUGCCUUUUGUAGAAUGAACCGGCGAGUUACGAUUUGAUGCAAGGUUAAGCAGUAAAUGUGGAGCCGUAGCGAAAGCGAGUCUGAAUAGGGCGUUUAGUAUUUGGUCGUAGACCCGAAACCAGGUGAUCUACCCUUGGUCAGGUUGAAGUUCAGGUAACACUGAAUGGAGGACCGAACCGACUUACGUUGAAAAGUGAGCGGAUGAACUGAGGGUAGCGGAGAAAUUCCAAUCGAACCUGGAGAUAGCUGGUUCUCUCCGAAAUAGCUUUAGGGCUAGCCUCAAGUGAUGAUUAUUGGAGGUAGAGCACUGUUUGGACGAGGGGCCCCUCUCGGGUUACCGAAUUCAGACAAACUCCGAAUGCCAAUUAAUUUAACUUGGGAGUCAGAACAUGGGUGAUAAGGUCCGUGUUCGAAAGGGAAACAGCCCAGACCACCAGCUAAGGUCCCAAAAUAUAUGUUAAGUGGAAAAGGAUGUGGCGUUGCCCAGACAACUAGGAUGUUGGCUUAGAAGCAGCCAUCAUUUAAAGAGUGCGUAAUAGCUCACUAGUCGAGUGACACUGCGCCGAAAAUGUACCGGGGCUAAACAUAUUACCGAAGCUGUGGAUUGUCCUUUGGACAAUGGUAGGAGAGCGUUCUAAGGGCGUUGAAGCAUGAUCGUAAGGACAUGUGGAGCGCUUAGAAGUGAGAAUGCCGGUGUGAGUAGCGAAAGACGGGUGAGAAUCCCGUCCACCGAUUGACUAAGGUUUCCAGAGGAAGGCUCGUCCGCUCUGGGUUAGUCGGGUCCUAAGCUGAGGCCGACAGGCGUAGGCGAUGGAUAACAGGUUGAUAUUCCUGUACCACCUAUAAUCGUUUUAAUCGAUGGGGGGACGCAGUAGGAUAGGCGAAGCGUGCGAUUGGAUUGCACGUCUAAGCAGUAAGGCUGAGUAUUAGGCAAAUCCGGUACUCGUUAAGGCUGAGCUGUGAUGGGGAGAAGACAUUGAGUCUUCGAGUCGUUGAUUUCACACUGCCGAGAAAAGCCUCUAGAUAGAAAAUAGGUGCCCGUACCGCAAACCGACACAGGUAGUCAAGAUGAGAAUUCUAAGGUGAGCGAGCGAACUCUCGUUAAGGAACUCGGCAAAAUGACCCCGUAACUUCGGGAGAAGGGGUGCUCUUUAGGGUUAACGCCCAGAAGAGCCGCAGUGAAUAGGCCCAAGCGACUGUUUAUCAAAAACACAGGUCUCUGCUAAACCGUAAGGUGAUGUAUAGGGGCUGACGCCUGCCCGGUGCUGGAAGGUUAAGAGGAGUGGUUAGCUUCUGCGAAGCUACGAAUCGAAGCCCCAGUAAACGGCGGCCGUAACUAUAACGGUCCUAAGGUAGCGAAAUUCCUUGUCGGGUAAGUUCCGACCCGCACGAAAGGCGUAACGAUUUGGGCACUGUCUCAACGAGAGACUCGGUGAAAUCAUAGUACCUGUGAAGAUGCAGGUUACCCGCGACAGGACGGAAAGACCCCGUGGAGCUUUACUGUAGCCUGAUAUUGAAAUUCGGCACAGCUUGUACAGGAUAGGUAGGAGCCUUUGAAACGUGAGCGCUAGCUUACGUGGAGGCGCUGGUGGGAUACUACCCUAGCUGUGUUGGCUUUCUAACCCGCACCACUUAUCGUGGUGGGAGACAGUGUCAGGCGGGCAGUUUGACUGGGGCGGUCGCCUCCUAAAAGGUAACGGAGGCGCUCAAAGGUUCCCUCAGAAUGGUUGGAAAUCAUUCAUAGAGUGUAAAGGCAUAAGGGAGCUUGACUGCGAGACCUACAAGUCGAGCAGGGUCGAAAGACGGACUUAGUGAUCCGGUGGUUCCGCAUGGAAGGGCCAUCGCUCAACGGAUAAAAGCUACCCCGGGGAUAACAGGCUUAUCUCCCCCAAGAGUUCACAUCGACGGGGAGGUUUGGCACCUCGAUGUCGGCUCAUCGCAUCCUGGGGCUGUAGUCGGUCCCAAGGGUUGGGCUGUUCGCCCAUUAAAGCGGUACGCGAGCUGGGUUCAGAACGUCGUGAGACAGUUCGGUCCCUAUCCGUCGUGGGCGUAGGAAAUUUGAGAGGAGCUGUCCUUAGUACGAGAGGACCGGGAUGGACAUACCUCUGGUGUACCAGUUGUCGUGCCAACGGCAUAGCUGGGUAGCUAUGUGUGGACGGGAUAAGUGCUGAAAGCAUCUAAGCAUGAAGCCCCCCUCAAGAUGAGAUUUCCCAACUUCGGUUAUAAGAUCCCUCAAAGAUGAUGAGGUUAAUAGGUUCGAGGUGGAAGCAUGGUGACAUGUGGAGCUGACGAAUACUAAUCGAUCGAAGACUUAAUCAA